GGGCCGGUAGCUCAGCGGCAGAGCAGGGGACUUUUAAUCCCUGUGUCGUGGGUUCGAAUCCCACCCGGCUCA
rnacentral:tRNA from 1 species